rnacentral:rRNA from 1 species
CAGCAGCCGCGGUAACACGAGGGGGGCAAGCGUUGUUCGGAAUUAUUGGGCGUAAAGGGUGCGUAGGCGGUUUGGCAAGUUUGGUGUGAAAUCUUCGGGCUCAACUCGAAGUCUGCAUCGAAAACUGCCGGGCUUGAGUAUGGGAGAGGUGAGUGGAAUUUCCGGUGUAGCGGUGAAAUGCGUAGAUAUCGGAAGGAACACCUGUGGCGAAAGCGGCUCACUGGACCAUAACUGACGCUGAUGCACGAAAGCUAGGGGAGCAAACAGGAUUAGAUACCCCCGUAGUCCCUGUCUCUUAUAC